rnacentral:piRNA from 1 species
UCCCCUAUAGGUAGAGAGCUGCUAG